rnacentral:rRNA from 1 species
ACGGAGGAUGCGAGCGUUAUCCGGAUUUAUUGGGUUUAAAGGGUGCGUAGGCCGGAAUGUAAGUCAGCGGUGAAAAGUUGCAGCUCAACUGUAACCGUGCCGUUGAAACUGCAUUUCUUGAGUGCGGACAAGGUAGGCGGAACUCGUAGUGUAGCGGUGAAAUGCUUAGAUAUUACGAAGAACUCCGAUUGCGAAGGCAGCUUACCGGGCCGCAACUGACGCUGAAGCACGAAAGUGUGGUUAUCAAACAGG